GCCAGGAUGAACGCUGGCGGCGUGCCUAAUACAUGCAAGUCGAGCGAACGGACGAGAAGCUUGCUUCUCUGAUGUUAGCGGCGGACGGGUGAGUAACACGUGGAUAACCUACCUAUAAGACUGGGAUAACUUCGGGAAACCGGAGCUAAUACCGGAUAAUAUUUUGAACCGCAUGGUUCAAAAGUGAAAGACGGUCUUGCUGUCACUUAUAGAUGGAUCCGCGCUGCAUUAGCUAGUUGGUAAGGUAACGGCUUACCAAGGCAACGAUGCAUAGCCGACCUGAGAGGGUGAUCGGCCACACUGGAACUGAGACACGGUCCAGACUCCUACGGGAGGCAGCAGUAGGGAAUCUUCCGCAAUGGGCGAAAGCCUGACGGAGCAACGCCGCGUGAGUGAUGAAGGUCUUCGGAUCGUAAAACUCUGUUAUUAGGGAAGAACAUAUGUGUAAGUAACUGUGCACAUCUUGACGGUACCUAAUCAGAAAGCCACGGCUAACUACGUGCCAGCAGCCGCGGUAAUACGUAGGUGGCAAGCGUUAUCCGGAAUUAUUGGGCGUAAAGCGCGCGUAGGCGGUUUUUUAAGUCUGAUGUGAAAGCCCACGGCUCAACCGUGGAGGGUCAUUGGAAACUGGAAAACUUGAGUGCAGAAGAGGAAAGUGGAAUUCCAUGUGUAGCGGUGAAAUGCGCAGAGAUAUGGAGGAACACCAGUGGCGAAGGCGACUUUCUGGUCUGUAACUGACGCUGA
rnacentral:rRNA from 1 species